AAGAAAUUUAUAAAAAAAGUCAACAUUAUUCCUUCUCUCUUAUUAAUGGAAAAGUCCAAACGAAUCAGAAGCGUUGAUAUUAUGAAAGGGGAGAACAAGGGUGCAGAUCGAACUAAAAAUGGAGGGAGGGAUCUCAUCCGCAUUCGGCGUUGGAGUCCAGACGAAGCCGUUACGCAUAAAAACAAAUGGGCCCUUCCUUGAUUGCAACAGGUUCUGCUAUUUUCUUAGGUGCCCCUCAGUUUCUUCGUUGGCAACAUCAACUUCACCCAAAUCUGUGGAAUGGACAUUAUUCCACUCUAGGAUGGGUGGAAUUCUCAUUCAAUUCCAUAGUAUGUAUCUUUUUGCCCUAUUUACCCUUUUUCUUCUCCUUUCUUCAUCUCGUUUUCUCACCUGUAACUUUUCUUGCCCAUACUUGCCAAGCCUCAGAGAUUUGCUGACGUCUGAUUCCUUGCUGCCGAGGUUUAUAGGUACUACAGAGCAUCAAAUUGAAAAUUAAAAGAACCAUUAUGUUUCUUUCAUGGUUGCUUAAAUAGAAAUCAAUCUCAUGGAUGAUUUUAUGGAGAUGGAUAACUUUGCUGCAUUGCCAGUCAUUGAAAGUGGAAGCAACUGUGUCAGAUCAACCUGAUGGUGGUGAAAGCCUUAAAGCUGCUGAUCUUGAUGUUGUGAUUUCAAAGGACUGUAAAACUGGAGGAGAAGUUAGAGGAAAUUGUGAAAGAAAAAAGAAAAAAUGAUUUUGAGAUGGCACUGGGUGCAGGCCGAAAGCAGCUUGAGGCAUCAGGUACAUUGGUGUUAUGAUUUAUGUAGAUCAAUAGUAAAUGUUGGGAGCAUAAUUAUGAUAUGCUGAUAUAUGGAGAUGGAAUUAUGUUUGAGAAUCCUAUAUGGUUCUUCUGCUAUACAACACAUGAUUGAACUUGUAAUAAAAAUCUGUAAUUUGGAGACGUAUAUAAUGAUAAAUAUCAAAAUGAAUCUUCUGGUUUCCUUGUUAUAA